AAGUCGUAACAAGGUUUCCGUAGGUGAACCUGCGGAAGGAUCAUUAACGAGUUAGGGUCCCUCGCGGCCCGACCUCCCCAACCCUUUGUCUACCUGACCACUGUUGCUUCGGCGAGCCCGUCUGUAAUGGACCGCCGGGGGGUACCUUGAUCGGCCCUCUGGUCCGCGCUCGUCGAUAGCCAAACUUUUAAAAUCUUAACCAAACGUGUCUCAAUCUAAGUAUUAUUUGUUAAAUAAAAGCAAAACUUUCAACAACGGAUCUCUUGGUUCUG
rnacentral:misc_RNA from 1 species